ensembl:lncRNA
CUGCCGUCCUCGAGGCUCGGCGGGGCGCUGCGCACACACGGCUCGGCUGUCCUUCGCCUCCUGGAGCAGCCCCGGCGCGGCAUGAGGCGGGGAGCGGGAUGUGUAGGGUGUCUCCUGCACGGACCUUGGGGAGCGACGGGACCCCCAGUGCGGCCGGGCCGGGCAUGAGGGGAGAAGCGGCGUGAGCCGGGGCAGGGAGGUCGGGUGUUGGGGAGCACCGUGGGGCACAGGGGUGAAGCCGCGGUGAGCGGUUGGAGAAAUGGCAGCAUCUUCUCCGGAGAAGGGACACGGGACAGACCCUGCGGCCCGCUCACAGCCAGCAGCAGGAACACUAGCAUGUGUAGUCCAGAACCGUGUCUGCUGUACAGCGGUACUCAGGGUUCGGUCCUGAGGUCGUCUUCUGUCAAAGCAUGACAGAAGCUCUUCUCCCUCUUGUUGGACUUCGCCACCCCAGGGGAUGGUGUGUGGUAAAGAAAGGAGCUCGCACAUCUUUCCGGGGCUGGUGUUGGCAGAGCUCACCUGGUGCGGGCGGGCGGCCGUACCGUGUUACAGCACUGCGUUUUCAUAACAGCUGGGUGCUUGUUUGGUUUGGUGGAGGAGGGUGGAACCCCGGAGUACCAAAAGAUGCUUCAUAUAUCCAGUAGUUACUCUGCACGAUCAUUUGUAAGUGUACAAGGAAGAUCUCGGUAUAGUCGUAAGUAGAUCUAGUUAGGAAUUAGACGCAGGAAGGAAGUAAUUUGUGUUGUUCAGUAUACAAGUGUUUUAGAAACAAAUCUGUUUAUUAUAGAGAAAAUCGGAACCUCUAUAGAAAAAAAAAAAAUGCUAGAAGUGGUGGGAUUUGGAGAAACUUAGCAUCUCUGGGGAUCUGGAAGCCUAGAUCCAGCCUAGAAAGUCAGAUAAACUAAACUUUCCAAAGUGUAGUUUAUCGGACAAACUUCAUGCCUUGAAGUCCGUUCUACGAUGUACGUAAUAUUUACCUCAUUUUUAGAGACACGAGCAAGGAUAGUCUUUGAACACUGCCCAGUAAAUAAGUUCUUGUUUGUUACUUCAUCAUCAGGACUACAAAACACUCUGCAACACCUGACUUGCAGAAGAAAACCAGUAAACUUGCAUGGCAUUUUAUCUUCCUUCCUCACUCUCAAAUUAAGUUAAUGCGUUGCUCUGUGUCAACAACAGGAAUUUUGGAUUUGAAUACUCGCCUCUAGUGCAAAUGACCUGUUCUUCUGUGCGUACAUACAUAUGUCCAUGUGUGUAUAUGCUCAGGUGGUACAUACUGAUAGCGGAGCCACUCUCUCUGAGUAGCAGGCAGGACCCUUUGCAUGGAGAAGGGAAUGGGAUUUGCUUCUGUCUGGCUUGCCAAGGUCAAUCACAAAGUCUGAAGCAAAGCCAGGAAAAGUAUCCAGAUCUCCCAGCUCUCUGCUUUUGCCACAGGGCUGCUGCUUCAUCUCUUUCUUUUCUGUUGCCAGUAGACUAUGUUCUUUACAGUGUGUUUGUAAAAAAUUGUAAUUGACUUACGCUCUCACCCUGCAGUUGAUAAGCACUACAGCCAGCAUGAGAAGGUUGAACUGCAGAUGUUGGAGCCGGUAGCAAUGCACAGCAUGUGAGCAGCACACCGAGCACAGAAAUGCUGUUUGCACCUAUGGGUUUGCCUGUCCCAAGCCUUGGCAGAGCUGAGAUCUGUGAAAAGUCCUGUGCACAGGCAUGAAGAGAAAUUCUACGAUAAUCCCAUACAGUGGAAGAUUUCCCGGACUGUUUCAUCAUCAGUGUUGUCUUUAAAAAUAAUUACUUUUGUAAGAAG